UUUGUUUUUUGUUUUUUGUUUUUUUUUGUUAUUUUUUUUUUCUCAGAUGGGCAGCAAUCCUUGCAAACAACUCGUUGAAGGUGGUGGUCGAAUUGGAAAAGAAGAAUUUGAAUCUCUUUUGUCUCGUUAUGAUAA
rnacentral:ribozyme from 13 species